CGCGGGCGGCGGCGAGGCCGAGGCGGCGGCAGAGCCCCAGCGCGGCGGCCUCCAGCGCCGCCACGUAGGCGCGCAGCGGCAGGCGGCGGCGCCGCAGGUCGAGCACCGGCAGCGCCAGCAGCUGCCCGGGCCCGUGGAAGCAAAUACGCGAGUCUCGCCAGGCUGCUAAUGAGUCACCCAUUAAAACCCGAGCAAACGGACGAGUUCGGUUCCCAGAGCGCCGCGUUAUCGAGGAGAUGGAGGUCCUGUUUUUAUCGCAGAUCUGCCUCGCCGGCAGCCGGCCCUUUGUGUUCGCAGGCAAUUCGGCCGUCGCCUGACAACGGCAGGAAACACGCGGCUCUUCUGCAAGGCAUCGAGUUUUUGCCGGCCGUCGAAGCCAAUGCUCUUCCGUUUUGGCUGGCGGUGGCGGUGCCUGCGUAAGCUCAGGAAAACCGUGUGUAAGAGCUCUGGGAUCCUCGUAAAUGGGACGACAGGACUCAGCACGGUUGCAUCGCCUGGGGCAAUUUGCCUUUCUGCAGUGCCUUUUCCUUUGGGCAGCGUGAAGCGCUCCGCGGACGGUCGCUGAGCAGCUCAGCUCCCCGGUCUGGCUGCGGCAGAGCCGCUUUUUUGGCACCGGCAGAAGGAUAUCACCCCCUCGGGAAGCGUUAAAGCUAACGAUCCCCUGGAAGACACAUUUUGGGGAGUUGGCACUUUAGAUGAAACACAACGGAGGAAGAAAACGGUGGCACGGGUGCAUACGGUCCAUAGAUCUCGAAAUAUUUCACCGAGCGGUCAGGAUGUGUUUUACCUGCGGGAAAACAGGGGCAGAGGGAAGUCACGCUGCAGGUCCGUGGUCGCGCCAGGGCCGGGCCAGCUCUGCCGCCCGCUGCGGACGCUGCGCGAGGUUACGCCGCUUCGGCAGCGCAACGCAGGCGGCUGAUGUUUGUGUGUCAGCAGGAUUAAUCAGACGAGCACAACCUGCAAGACAGGAGCAGUUAAGUUAAGCCUGACUUAAUGGUGUAAACAUGCAAGCGUGCACUCAUGGCACCUGGCAAUGAUCAGGGGCAGUCGAGCAAAGUCCUUCACACCUGAAUUUCUGGUCUUGGCUUCCUCCGUUUUCUGUCUGCCCAAUGUUAAUUUUGAGGUGCCUUUGAUUUGAAGCUCUUCUGUUUGGGGUCCAUGCAAGGAAAUGUGAAAAGUAGCAGUUUGUGUGGUAAAACUGUUCCCUCUGUCAUUUCAUUUUGCUGCCAAAUAACUGCCGUUGAGAUGUUUUUCAAGGAUGAGUCUCCCAAGAGAAGUGAGUUAUGUCUGAGCUGUCUCUUCUAAAAGGUUUUAUUUUGGACACCAGCACAGAAAAACCACUUCUUCCAGCCAUCAGGGAUCAGACCUUGUGUUUUCACCGUCUGCGACACGGGGUGGAUAUUGCUCUGAGCCUCUCUGAGCCCCUAUUGCAACGCUUGGUUGUGCUCACGGAGCAAAAUUUCUCCUAAUAUCCAGUCCGAACCUCUCUUAUUUCAAUUUAUGCCCAUUUAGUUACCUCAGAGCAUAAAGCUGGUAUGAAUGAGAUCAGAGAGAGAUCUCAUGCCAUUUUCUGUAAAAGAGAACAAAUCCUCAGUUAAAAGAACUUAAACUCCAUCUUGCCCUAAAAUUAAUGGGCAAUAGCGAGACGCAAGUUAUGCAAAACCCUGAAGGUGAAAAGUAAAAUUUUACAGUAACUGGGCAUGUUAACCAAGGUCAGGAAACCAUCCAGAAACCUCAAAGCAGGAAACUUGGAGGAAAAAACAAAAGACGAAAAGAGGCCUUUAAAAAAAAAAAGAAAAAGAUGAGUAAUGUAUUAAGACUCGCACCCUCCUUCCGUAAACCAAGCACAAAUGUCAAGUCGGGAGCAACAUGUCGCAAUGCAAGAAUAGCCCCAUAAAACGGAGGAAAGGAGGAACAGGAGUGUGAGAGAAAGCGCACGAGGCCGCAGGAGGAAGAGGAUGUAUACAAUUUUAUUACCAGCAAAAACAAACACGAUGCCAGCGGAGGAGCGCGGUUGUUGUGACCGCUGCAGAAACAGCACUUUCGCACGCUGUGGGGUCACGUGCAUCGCGUGAGGUUGUUUUAAGGCCUGGUAAAUGUGUGCGGUUUCCUUCCCUGACCUUUGCUAGGUAAAAAAAUGAUGCAUUCGAGUGAAUAUGGGUGUCCGCUCAGCAUGCUGGUGCAGCGGCAGGAGCAUCGGCUUUCACAAGUGGAAGAGUCCCCGUAGCUCUCCUGGAGCUCCCUGCUCAGCUUUGGGGCUCGGAGGCCCCAAAUUUUCUUACUAAAUCCUUCUGGCAGGGUACAACACGGGGUGGAGGGAGGGAGCGGCCCUGCUUUUUCACCCUGCACGUAGCAGCGCUGAGCUGACGCCGAAGCGUUUGCUCCCCACGCAGAAGAGGCGGGAGCACGGCUCCUUCCCUGCUCGCUCCUGGGACGCUGUAGCUGUUCGCUGCCCUGUGUUUGGGGAAAUGCUUUUCUGCUCGUUCCCAUCAUGGUUUUAUCAGUAGUUACUCAUUAGAGGAGUCUCGUUAUUUCCUAGCUGUUCCCCUUGUUUAUCUUCCUUAAUUGCCUGUCUGCACAAGGACACUGAUCCGAAUAGCUGCUACAAAACAAGCUGCUUUGCCACCGCUCCUCCUGUGCCCAUCCUGCUAUUGAAUAAAUGACAAAUACUCCACGCUGAGGCACACUAAUCAUCUUAAAAGAAAAGAGGUCUAGAAGAGGUGUCCAUAGGGGAGCUGUUCCAUCAAUUUUCCCACACAAGCAGCCCAGGAAACAUUUUCAGAAUGAGAUAUGGGUAUCAGUAGAUAAGCCAAGGUCAGAAAUGCCAGCUACUAACGUGACUCGCCGUGGGGAAUCCUGAUGAUGCUUUGGGAAGACGUUCGUGUCAAUCAGCUUUGUUCAGAUGCGAUAACAUGUAGCCGGUGGCAGCUCAGCCGGGAUUAUACUUACUGCUGAUAGAUUCCCAGCUGUUUACACAUGCAUUUUUCUUCUACAGUGCUUAAGCUUUGCAUAUACCUAUUUAUUUUUUAAAAAGGAAAUCAACACAGGUACAAAAAUAAAAAAAAAGCUCUCUGAACCAUUAACAAUGCAACAUUUCCUUUUAUGAAGGCACACUGCUAUACUGUCACGCACCAUAAAACAUGCGAGUGAAAUGGGAACCAGCUCCAGAUUAAGACACUUAAAUUUAGGUGUCUGCACAUAUGCUGGGUGUCUAAAGCUCUCCGUACAGCUGGUGGGGACAGUUGCCAGUACUGUCAGUGGUGCGAGGAGGGUGGUUUGGCUGAGAUAGACAGCAAGUGACUGCCAGCAAAUGCACGCUGUGCUCCACCGAUUGCAGGAAGGGAGACGCUUUCCAGCUCCUGUAGUCUUCAUCCACCUGAAACCUACCUCUGUGUCUUCUCAGAUGCUUUUCUCUUCCCAGUAUUACUGCUGCCUCACCCUUUCCAACCCUUUUUUGGUUGUGAACGUGCAGAUUGUUUGGUGCCCUCGUACUCAGCUUGUUGGAUUUCACCUUCGCUGCAAGUCCGGCAGCACCCAGGUCCCACACGUCCUCCUGGCAGAGCCCUCCUACCCACCCAGGCUUCCUUCUUUCAUGGGGCAGCUACACCAUCUUUUAGGCCUCAGCGGUGUUACAGCCACAGAAAAGACUAUUAAGCCGUGCAAACAAAUGCAUGUCUCAAAUGUAGCUAUCUCCUGUGACACCAAUUUUGAUCUAGUUUAUGGCCUUUCUUGUACUGAUUCUGUCCCUUGCAAAUCUGUAAACAUAUUCAUUCCUGUUGGUUUUAUGAUAGCACCUGAUCCGAACUCUUCCAGCCAUGUUUAUGCAUAUUUAAGGAGGGAAACUAUGGGAAACUCACCCAUCAGACCGGUUUCCUACUGGAAGGACCCCAUUAUUCUACCUAGUUAUUUGUAAUUUGUCCUGGUGUAAGAAAGGAGGAAGGUCAGACUCUCCGUAUCUACUGACGUAUCUCUCAUACGACUUCCAUUUUGCAACUGAAAUCCUCCACUUUUACUCAGACGGGAUGCAUUUCCUCUCCAACACUGCAUCUUCGGAAGCCUCUAAUAGAUGUCCCCUGAUAAGCUCCAAAAUGAGAGAGGUGCUGGUAGCUAGAUGAGUUUUGGAGAGAUUAAAUUAACUAUGCUUUGACACUGGGAUCCCUCCCUUCAGCCUGCUCAAGGAAGUCCCCCCUCAUAUAGUAUUAAUUAAAGCUUCAGGAGAACUCCUUUCACUCAAACUCACAUGUUUGCUAGCUACUAUCUGUAAUGCGUUUCCAGACAUCCUGCCCAUUUUUUUUGUUUUCUCAAAUGCAUUUUGAAAUGACCAUUACGAUGAGUCCUCAGGCUUUCUGUCUGCUGGCGCUGGUCGUUUUGGCUGUGAGCAGCUGUCUUGAUGCUGGGGCUGUGCAUGCUACCGAGGUCACUGCCGCACACUCGGCUUUCCUUGUGGGAAUUCGCUGCGACCCAAGGACUGCACGGCAGGGUCAACGCUGGGGCCAGUCUUGUUCAACUUAUUCAUCCAUGACCUGGAUGCUGGGGCAGAUGCACCCUCAGCAAGUUCACAGGUGACACCAAACUGGGAGGAGUGGUGAUGCCCCGGAGGGCUGUGCUGCCGUUCGGAGGGACCUGGACAGGCUGGAGAGAUGGGCAGAGAGGAACCUCGUGAAGUUCAGCAAAGCUGCUGCGUUUCAAGCUCCAUUGGACUGGAACAUUUUUGCUCAAGGACUUGAUUCAUCAGAUGAAAUUGCAUAAUGACUCCUUCCUAGCUCUGGGCAGAGCAUGAGACGUGUCAUGCUACUUACUGACAAGAAUAAGCCGCAAGUCCCAGAAUCUGCACAAAAUCACUGCUUUCUCAUAACAAACAGCAGUACGUGGAUAAUGAUUUUGACCUUCAUCCUGCCCCUGUUGAAAUCAGAAAGAAAACCUCCGACUUCAGGGAGUAAAAGGUUCUUUCUCAGUAGUCACUAAUUAAAUGUACACUUGCAGCAUCACCAAA